UACCAAAAAGCCUUUUGAUUGAUCUUNUCCC
rnacentral:piRNA from 1 species